rnacentral:rRNA from 1 species
AACGAACGCUGGCGGCAGGCUUAACACAUGCAAGUCGAACGCAUCCUUCGGGGUGAGUGGCAGACGGGUGAGUAACGCGUGGGAACGUGCCCUUCAGUUUGGGAUAACCCAGGGAAACUUGGGCUAAUACCGGAUACGCCCGAAAGGGGAAAGAUUUAUCGCUGAAGGAUCGGCCCGCGUCUGAUUAGCUAGUUGGUGAGGUAAUGGCUCACCAAGGCGACGAUCAGUAGCUGGUCUGAGAGGAUGAUCAGCCACACUGGGACUGAGACACGGCCCAGACUCCUACGGGAGGCAGCAGUGGGGAAUAUUGGACAAUGGGCGCAAGCCUGAUCCAGCCAUGCCGCGUGAGUGAUGAAGGCCUUAGGGUUGUAAAGCUCUUUCGGCGGGGACGAUAAUGACGGUACCCGCAGAAGAAGCCCCGGCUAACUUCGUGCCAGCAGCCGCCGUAACAC